GCGAUUGAUAUCCCCAACAAUCAGCUCUUCAUUUUGGACAGUAACCACAACAGAAUAGUGGUAACUGAUUAUGGGAAUUUUAUGGUCCAAAUCGGUAGCUCAAGAGAGGGAGGUCUACGUGAUGGAUUCUUCGAGGAGGCCACGACCACCUUUAAUCAUGCUUAAGGCCUGGCUUACAAUGCGAAGAAAAACAUCCUUUAUGUUGAAGAUACUGCAAACCAUGCUUUGAGGGAGAUUGAUUUUGUUAAUGAAAAGGUGCAAACUCUUGC